GGGGAAUAUUGCACAAUGGGGGAAACCCUGAUGCAGCGACGCCGCGUGGAGGAAGAAGGUCUUCGGAUUGUAAACUCCUGUUGUUGAGGAAGAUAAUGACGGUACUCAACAAGGAAGUGACGGCUAACUACGUGCCAGCAGCCGCGGUAAAACGUAGGUCACAAGCGUUGUCCGGAAUUACUGGGUGUAAAGGGAGCGCAGGCGGGAAGACAAGUUGGAAGUGAAAUCUAUGGGCUCAACCCAUAAACUGCUUUCAAAACUGUUUUUCUUGAGUAGUGCAGAGGUAGGCGGAAUUCCCGGUGUAGCGGUGGAAUGCGUAGAUAUCGGGAGGAACACCAGUGGCGAAGGCGGCCUACUGGGCACCAACUGACGCUGAGGCUCGAAAGUGUGGGUAGCAAACAGGAUUAGAUACCCUGGUAGUCCACACCGUAAACGAUGAUUACUAGGUGUUGGAGGAUUGACCCCUUCAGUGCCGCAGUUAACACAAUAAGUAAUCCACCUGGGGAGUACGACCGCGAGGUUGAAACUCAAAGGAAUUGACGGGGGCCCGCACAAGCAGUGGAGUAUGUGGUUUAAUUCGACGCAACGCGAAGAACCUUACCAAGUCUUGACAUCCCUUGACGAACAUAGAAAUAUGUUUUCUCUUCGGAGCAAGGAGACAGGUGGUGCAUGGUUGUCGUCAGCUCGUGUCGUGAGAUGUUGGGUUAAGUCCCGCAACGAGCGCAACCCUUAUGGUCAGUUACUACGCAAGAGGACUCUGGCCAGACUGCCGUUGACAAAACGGAGGAAGGUGGGGAUGACGUCAAAUCAUCAUGCCCUUUAUGACUUGGGCUACACACGUACUACAAUGGCGUUAAACAAAGAGAAGCAAGACCGCGAGGUGGAGCAAAACUCAGAAACAACGUCCCAGUUCGGACUGCAGGCUGCAACUCGCCUGCACGAAGUCGGAAUUGCUAGUAAUCGUGGAUCAGCAUGCCACGGUGAAUACGUUCCCG
rnacentral:rRNA from 1 species